CUAAGGUUUAUGUGAUUGUAAGAAUUUUUCACAUAGUGGUCGGAUGUUGUCUUUUGACAACUGUUGUGGUUUUUUCCCGGUUUUGGGUUUUCACGUUAAAUUCUUGUGUUGUUUUAUUUCUCAUUUUUUUUCUCUUUACAAAAAGGGCGGAGAUCUCGGGGUUUACGGGAAAAGGGUCAAUUUCUUUUUUUCGCAACAAGUGGUAUCAGAGCGAGGUCACCUAACUUGAGGGGGGAAUCUUAGUAUGCGCUGUGGCGCAGCUUUGGCUGAUCUUCUACAUAAGAAGAUUUUCUGGUUCAAGAAGCUUGUAGGAGGAGAAGUUGGUGCAAUUGGAGUAUCGAGGCUUGUGGUGAAUUCUGGCGGUUAGAUCUGGUAGUGUGGAGGUACAUGUCUAGGUAAGCUCUGGCUAGGAAAGACUUGGUAAUUAAGUGGUCACGACCCACCUCUCUUUCCUGGAAACUUACCUGGUGAGCUGUUCACGAGCUACAGACUAGCAAGUGUUUUUCAUCCACGAAUAUUGGUCAGCGAUACGGUUAUAAUGGGAAGCAUCAAGUUUGAUAUUUAGAAAUUUGAUGGAAGAAUCAAUUUUGGCUUGGGACAAGUUUAAGUCAUGGAUAUAUUGAUUCAAUCAGAUCUACACAAGGCCCUGAAGGGAAAACUAGAAGCAUGUUCUAGCGAUGAUUCAUCAAGCAAGAGAGAUGAGGAAUGAGAUGAUUUAGAUUUGAG
rnacentral:lncRNA from 1 species